rnacentral:lncRNA from 1 species
AUGAAGACUCGACUAUCAAGUAUUUGGAGAGUAAAGGAACAUUAAGAUUGACCAUGAGAUGGUUCAAUCUAGAAUGCAAUUAGGGUAGACCCAUAAACCAUCCUGUAGCUUGGAUGAGUUUUCAAAAAUCCAUAACCAUUAGAUUUUCUUUAUAUACUCUUACAUGCUGGUAGUUAGAAUUAAAAUUGUAUACGAUACAUUAUAUAUAUAUAUAUAUAUAUUUUAGAUGUGCAAGAG